rnacentral:rRNA from 1 species
GGAACGUGCCCAGAUCUGCGGAAUAGCCACUGGAAACGGUGAGUAAUACCGCAUACGCCCUUCGGGGGAAAGAUUUAUCGGAUUUGGAUCGGCCCGCGUUAGAUUAGGUAGUUGGUGGGGUAAUGGCCUACCAAGCCUACGAUCUAUAGCUGGUUUUAGAGGAUGAUCAGCAACACUGGGACUGAGACGCGGCCCAGACUCCUACGGGAGGCAGCAGUGGGGAAUCUUAGACAAUGGGGGCAACCCUGAUCUAGCCAUGCCGCGUGAGUGAUGAAGGCCCUAGGGUCGUAAAGCUCUUUCGCCUGUGAUGAUAAUGACAGUAGCAGGUAAAGAAACCCCGGCUAACUCCGUGCCAGCAGCCGCGGUAAUACGGAGGGGGUUAGCGUUGUUCGGAAUUACUGGGCGUAAAGCGCGCGUAGGCGGAUCAGAAAGUUGGGGGUGAAAUCCCGGGGCUCAACCCCGGAACUGCCUCCAAAACUCCUGGUCUUGAGUUCGAGAGAGGUGAGUGGAAUUCCGAGUGUAGAGGUGAAAUUCGUAGAUAUUCGGAGGAACACCAGUGGCGAAGGCGGCUCACUGGCUCGAUACUGACGCUGAGGUGCGAAAGUGUGGGGAGCAAACAGGAUUAGAUACCCUGGUAGUCCACACCGUAAACGAUGAAUGCCAGUCGUCGGGUUGCAUGCAAUUCGGUGACACACCUAACGGAUUAAGCAUUCCGCCUGGGGAGUACGGUCGCAAGAUUAAAACUCAAAGGAAUUGACGGAGGCCCGCACAAGCGGUGGAGCAUGUGGUUUAAUUAGAAGCAACGUGCAGAACCUUACCUACCCUUGACAUGCCCGGUUUGGUCGCCAGAGAUGGCUUCCUUGAUUCGUUCGCCGGUGCACAGGUGUUGCAUGGCGGUCGUCAGCUGGUGUCGUGAGAUGUUGGGUUAAGUCCCGCAACGAGCGCAACCCUCAUCAUUAGUAGCCAUCAGGUUUGGCUGGGCACUCUAAGGAAACUGCCGGUGGCAAGCCGGAGGAAGGUGGGGAUGACGUCAAGUCCUCUUGGCCCUUACGGGU